rnacentral:rRNA from 1 species
UCCGUAGGUGAACCUGCGGAAGGAUCAUUCAUAAUAAGUGUUUUAUGGCACUUUUUUAAAUCCAUAUCCACCUUGUGUGCAAUGUCAGGGUUGAUUUUCUCUCGAGAGGAUCAACCCCAAACAUCAACUAUUAUCUCAACUCUUUGUCUGAAAAAUAUUAUGAAUAAAACAAUUCAAAAUACAACUUUCAACAACGGAUCUCUUGGCUCUCGCAUCGAUGAAGAACGCAGCGAAAUGCGAUACGUAAUGUGAAUUGCAGAAUUCAGUGAAUCAUCGAAUCCUUGAACGCACAUUGCACUCUCUGGUAUUCCGGAGAGUAUGCUUGUUUGAGUAUCUGUAAACAUCUCAAAUCUCUCGACUUUCGAGUUUGAGAGAAUUGGACUUGAGCAAUCCCAACUCCUUCGUCAGAAAGAGGAGGGUUGCUUGAAAUGCAGGUGCAGCUGGGCAUUCUUCUGAGCUAAAAGCAUAUUUAUUUAGUCCCGUCAAACGGAUUAUUAUUCUUGCUUCAGCUUACAUAAAGGUUGAAUGACUACCGAGGCUGAUUGCAGGUAAACUCGUUCCGUAAAAAAGAACUUGUGAACUCGAUCUCAAAUCAAGUAAGACUACCCGCUGAACUUAAGCAUAUCAAUAAGCGGAGGA